rnacentral:tmRNA from 1 species
GGGGGCGACUGGCUUCGACGGGGGUCGAGAAGCAGGGAGUGCAGGCCGGGGACCCGAGUCCUCGUCAAAAAAUCGGGAAACGCACAACUGCCAACGAGCAGUUUGCUCUCGCCGCUUAAUUAAGCGGUGACGUCCGCCCGGACCCCGCCCGUGGGGGCCGGAACGGGCGUCAGACAAACGCGGGCUGGUCCGAGGCUCCGCCCGGGGGCCGACGACGAGAUCUCUUCCGGGCUUGGGCGCGGCGGAUCCCGCCGACCGGAGCUUCCGCGCUCGAGAAGCCGUAGCGUAGGUCGGACAUGCCUGUAGGACUGCCUGUGGACCGGCUUUCGGACGCGGGUUCGAUUCCCGCCGCCUCCACCA